rnacentral:piRNA from 1 species
UCUGCUAGGCCCUUCUCUUCUCCAC